CUCGGAGCCACGGGCCACGGUCAUCUAUCAUUGUCUGGCACCCUGCUCCACGUAAGCACGCAGCCAGGCGCUUGAGAUGGGCUGCUCUGUUUAGCUUUGGAUGUGUAAGUAAAGACCUCUCUGCGCUCAAGAGAAAUGGAAGGUUGGUGAUUUUUUUCUGGAGCAUUAGAAAAAUCUGAAAGGCCGCAGAAGUCCCUUCUGUAACACAAAACUCUAAUCCACAAAUCCUCGAUAACUGCUCUCCAAUAAUAAUUUUAAAAAGCAAGUGUCGCAAGGCACUUAAGAUGAUACGGCCCCACCAGAAACGCGUCUUUAACAACUGCACUCUUUCUCUUGGCUUUCUUGAGAACUGUUCUUUCCCCUCCUUUGGGCCAAGUCAAUCUGCCCUUUAUGGGAAAUUGAGUGUUGGCUUGGGUGAGGCAAAAACACACAUUCUUCCCUUGGAAGAACAGACUUGCAUUCCUGAGAGUAAAAUAAAUUAAGCCCAGUUUCUCUGUCCAUUAAUUAUGUGGAAUAAACAACCUUCUCCUGGUCUCCAAGAAGCACAGGAGACCGGCACAAAUUUCCUUCCAGACCCAGGGGGUUGGGAGUUGGGGGGUGGGAGGGGAAUCGCUUGCCCAUCCAAGAGGACGCCUGUGGUCUGGGAGGAUUCGGAGGAUUGCGAGGAGCCAAGCUGUACCACCAGAUGUUUGUAAGAAAUCCACUAAUGGAGACAAUUCCAUGUUCAACAGGGAUCCCUUAGGAUGCGCCAGUUCUACCCUGGACUGGGGACACAAAGAUGAGACUUAUAAACCAUUACCUUCCAAAGAGUCGCGACUGGAUGCAUUAAAAAAGGAGAAACCCCAAGAAGUCCGUGGAAAAAUAAACUCCAUCUCAAAGGGCAGUGGUAGCAAAGGACGGCUUGGUCUGAAGCACACCCAGAUGGACGCUGAAGCGUAGAGUGGCAUUUCACCCCGCUGCAGCGCCGCCUCUGCUGGCCCCUUCCAUUCUGUGGCUCCUUCUCUGUCUGUCCGUCUGUCUCUCUCUUCAUCACGGCCUCUUCAUCGAGAGUCUCCUGGGUACUAACCGGUGCUCCCAUGUUCUCACCCUCGAUCUCCUUGUCCCUUAUCCAAAGUGAGUGAGGAAUAAGGACUUUGGGCUGGGGGGUGGCUUCGUGGGCAGACCAUUUGUGGUGCCAGCUAGACCUGAGUGCAGAGUCCCAAGCACUCCCACAUAAAAGCAUGUCUAUAACUCCAUGUUGUAAAUGAGGUUUUAGAGCUUCCACACAUUUGUGGCUAGUAGCGUAUUCUUUUCUGUUAGAUGUUCUUUAUUCCUUCUAUGGAAUUGGUAGGUUUUUUUUAAUUGAUAUUCUAUGUUCUUUCUUUAUUAGGGGAAUGAGUGGUUUGUUAUGGUUUAAGAUGCAUGUUUGGGCUGGAGAGAUGCAUCCGUGGUUAAGAGGACUUGCUGCUCUUCCACAAGACCUAACCAAUGUCAGUUCCCAGCAUCCAUAUCAGCAGCUCAGCUCACAGUCCCCUGUAACUUCAGCUCUAGGGGAACUCACACCGUUUUCUGGUUUCCACAGCUGCCUGUACUCAUACAAGCACAUCCACAGGGAUCCACACACUAACACAACCAUAUACACAUGCUUCAAAAUAAAAACAUUAAAAAAAAUCUGGGGGGUGGGGGUGGCAG